CUGAAGUACAUUCAUUCAGAUGUUGAUGAAAAUGAUGGCAAAGCCUUUUUCCCAAGUAAAUUAUUGAGUUGCCUUCCCUAUAAUUUUCACCGGCCUGAAAACAGGUUAAUUGACAAAAAGCUGAAACAUUAUUCAAAUCUGGAAGGACUUCAGAAGAGGGAUGUUAUGUUUUGAAACGCUAGAAAGACCUAAGAGGUAUAGCAGCUAGUUGCAGAUAAAGAAAGAAUUUCACAUCUGAUAGGUUUUCACUGUUGAUGCUUUCAUUCACCUUUCUUGUCCACGUGAUAUAAACAUUCCCGCAGGUGUGAGAGCCUUGGAUUAGCCAACUUUUUUCUUAACAUAUUCUUACUAUCUUACCUCUCUCAAAUGUUAAUAUACAAUUAGUAUCCAGAAAACUAGACAGAUUUGCUUUGCGCUCCACAUGAGUGAACGUGAGAGAGAGAGAAAAUAGAC